GGCAAAAGUUUACUGACACCGGGCCAGAUUGCAGUUAUAACAAUCAGCACAACUUUUGCUUUCUACCUCACCAUAAUGUUUGUAGUCUGUAUGGGAGAGUAUUGUCAGUAUAAAAAAGGCAAAAAGAAAAAGAUGGAGGUAAGAAGAAAACUACAUUCAGGGUAUACUACAUCAACGGGCAAUGCGGAAAGUGAUAUACGAUCAGGUUCACAGUUUGAUUCCAGUGUCAGCCAGUCAGAUUAUACAUCAUCAUUUCAAGCGAGACAAUCUUCGAGGUACGAGCCUCAGCCUACUACAUCAAAACGAAGUGACAGUGUUCAAAACCAUUCCAUAGAAGAGAAAUUAUUAAACGCUGGACUUCAAACCAGUAUAUCCAAUGACGAUAUUGAGACAAUUCCUUUUGAGGAAAGUUUAAGUAAUGUCAAUACUGACUGUGAUAGAGCGUGUGAAAGUGGCAGCCAAGAUGUUGUUAUGGUUCCACUCAUUUCCAGACAAUGUGAUGAUAUUUUAGACAUUGACGGUGAAAUUUUCUGUGAUAGUGUAGACUCUCGGGACAUGUAUCAUCUAGAAGCCGAUGUCUGAAAAACCAUUUAAUACACAUGUAAUAUUUCAGCAUAGUGUAGGAAUAAGGGUAUCUACCAAUUGUUGUGUGUAUUUUUUAUUUGUGAUAUAUUAAAGCUUACAGUGAUUGUAAGCUAUGUUUAUGUGUUAUUAUAAGUAUUAUAAUUAUGUAAAUGAUUUGUUUGUUUCACAAGCAUUUUACCAUUGUAUAUCUUAAACAUGUAACUUCAGUUGAUUUAUGACUAGAAGAUGAAAUUUUUCAUAAUGUUAUUUGGUGAUUAUCUCUGUACCCAUAAAUAAAUUUUUGGAAAUGUUCUUAAGUGCACAAUUAUAAUCUAAAGCAUAUGUAUAGUUUAAAGCCUAUGUUAAAAAAAUCUAAAUCUUUAAUAAUGGCAAAUAUAUACCAAUCCUUGCAAAAUAUUGAUUUUCCCAUGCUGCAAGGAAUAAAAUGUAUGAAAUUUGAAAGCUAGUACAACAUUAUUUUCCUUUUAUCAUAUACCUAUAAAUAUCAAGAUGAAAAGAGAUUCAAUUUCCUGAAUUUUUAUUAGUUAUUUCACAAAUAGAGAUAUAUCUGCCAAGAACUAAAAUUCAACUUUGCAAAUAAGACAUCCUCCUAGUAUCGAUUCCCAUUUCCAAAUACUACAUAGCACAAGGCCUGUAUGGGAACCAACAAAGAAAAAUAGUCCAGCACUUCCAUAUUAUGUACCAUAUUUGUCACUAACAUUCAUACACAUUUUUUUUAUCCAUUGAAUCAUAUUCGCACUGCAGGACAUGCAUGUAUUUUAGGGAGGACAUUUUUAGGUGCACUGUAUAUAAUAAAGCUCAAUAUAAAUUUGUUGAUUUAAAUGCUUUACAAUGCAUAAUAAAAUGAGCCACGUCAUGACAAAACCAACAUAAUGGGUUUGCAACCAGCAUGGAUCCAGACCAGCCUGCGCAUCAGCGCAGUCUGAUCAGGAUCCAUGCUGUUCGCUUACAUACCCUGUAACAAGUACUAGUAGAGAAACUGAUAGCGAACAGCAUGGAUCCUGAUCAGACUGCGUGGAUUCGCAGGCUGGUCUGGAUCCAUGUUGGUCGCAAACCCAUUAUGUUGGUUUUGUCGUGGCGCUGCUCAAAUUAUUUAUUAGUCCCAGAAUAUCAGUAUUUUUGUGCAUAUGAGAUUGACAGCUUGAAGGUAUUAAUAACCCUUCAUUGUUGAUCUUGUUUUUCACAUUUUAAUAACUUGUCCAUGUCAUUUUUAAAGUCAGACUAACGUGCAUCACCAUGUUAUAAGAUUAGUAUAUUAUAGAUUACCUGCUCAACUAUAGUAUAUUGAUAUUUAAUACACCUUAAAUUAAAAAUGCAUAGUUAGCUAGUCAAAGUCAGAAAUGUGCCCUUAACACAAAUUAAGAAAGGAAAUUAUUGAAACAGGUGUUUAAGUCUGCACAAGCAUUUUUAUUUAUUUAAAUUUAAACUUUCCUGAUAGUUAUGUGCAAGUAUACCAAGACUUUUUGUUCACAACUUUUAACUCACAUUACAAUGUCUUUAAGGAUGGUACAUCUUAAAUUAAAUGAUUUUCUUUUUUAGAAAUUAUUUUGAUAUAUUUUUAGCUCACCUGUCACAAAGUGACAGGGUGAGCUUUGUGAUCGCUUUUCGUCCGGCGUCCGGCCGUCCGUCCGUCCGGCGUCCGUAAACUUUUACUUUAAAUGACAUCUCCUCAUAAACCACUAAGCCAAUUUCAUCCAAACUUCACAGGAAUGUUCCUAUGGUGGUCACCUUUAAAAAUGGUUCAAAGAAUUUAAUUCCAUGCAGAACUCUGGUUGCCAUGGCAACCGAAAGAAAAAACUUUAAAUAUCUUCUUUUAAAAAACCCUAAGAGCUAGAGCUUAGAUAUUUGGCAUGAAACAUCUUCUAGUGAGUGUCUACCAAGUUUGUUCAAAUAAAAUCCCUUGGGUCAAAAUUUGCCCCGCCCAAGGGGGUCAUUGAUUUUCCAUAUAUGCAUAUAGUAAAAACUUAAAAAAUCUUCUUAUAAAAAACCCAAAGAGUUAAAGCUAAGAUAUUCAGCUUGAAACAUCUUCUAAUGAGUGUCUACCAAGUUUGUUCAAAUAAAAGCCCUGGGGUCAAAAUUGGCCCCGCCCCAGGGGGUCAUUGAUUUUCCCUAUAUGCAUAUAGUAAAAACUUAAAAAAUCUUCUUUUAAAGAACCCAAAGAGCUAGAGCUAAGAUAUUCAGCAUGAAACAUCUUCUAAUGAGUGUCUACCAAGUUUGUUCAAAUAAAAGCCCUGGGGUCAAAAUUGGCCCCGCCCCAGGGGGUCAUUGAUUUUCCCUAUAUGCAUAUAGUAAAAACGUAAAAAAUCUUCUUUUAAAGAACUCAAAGAGCUAGAGCUAAGAUAUUCAGCAUGAAACAUUUUCUAAUGGAUGUCUACCAAGUUUGUUCAAAUAAAAGCCCUGGGGUCAAAAUUGGCCCCGCCCCAGGGGGUCAUUGAUUUUCCUUAUAUGUGUAUAGCAAAAACUUAAAUAAUCUUCUUUGAAAAAGCCCAAAUAGCUAGAGUUUAGAUAUUAAGCAUGAAACAUCUUCUAGUGAGUGUCUACAAAGUUUGUUUCUAGUGAGUGUCUACAAAGUUUGUUCAAAUAAUAGCCCCGGGGUCAAAAUUGGCCCCAACCAGGGGGGUCAUUGAUUUUCCCUAUAUGCAUAUAGUAAAAACUUAGAUAAUUUUCUUUGAAUAAACCCAAAUAGCUAGAGUUUAGAUAUUAAGCAUGAAACAUCUUCAAGUAAGUGUCUACAAAGUUUGUUCAAAUAAAAGCCCUGGGGUCAAAACUGGCCCCGCCCCAGGGGUGUCAUUGAUUUUCUUUAUAUGUGUAUAGCAAAAACUUAAAAAUCUUCUUUUAAAAAAACCCAAUGAGCUAGAGCUUAGAUGUUUAGCAUGAAAUAUCUUCUUAUGGAUGUCUACCAAGUUUGUUCAAAUAAAAGCCCUUCGUUGAAAAUUGGCCCUGCCGGGGCUAGGGGGGAGGGGGGGAGGAGGGUAAGAUCAUUGUUUUUCAUUACAUGUGUGUAGUAAAAACUUAACAUUGUGAAACAUCUUCUAAUGAGUGUCUUCCAAGUUUGUUCAAAUAAAAGCUCUGGGGUUAAAACUGGCCCCGCUCCUGGGGCCUAUAUACAGGUGAGCGAUCUCAGGGCCAUCAUGGCCCUCUUGUUUAUAUUAUUUUUAUGCCCCCAUUUCGAAGAAAAGGGGGUAUAUUGCUUUGCACUUGUCGGUCCGUCGGUCUGUCGGUCCGUCGGUCCGUAGACCAAAUGGUUUCCGAGUGAUAACUAAAGAACCCUUAGGCCUAGGAACUUCAAACUUGGUAUGGUGAUUGGUCAUGACAAGUAGAUGACCCCUAUUGAUUUUGGGGUCAAGGGGUCAAAGGUCAAGGUCACAUUGACCUUGUAAGCAAAAACGGUUUCCGAUCAAUAACUAAAGAACCCUUAGGCCUAGGAACUUCAAACUUGGUAUGGUGAUUGGUCAUGAUCAGUAGAUGACCCCUAUUGAUUUUGGGGUCAAGGGGUCAAAGGUCAAGGUCACAUUGACCUUGUAAGCAAAAACGGUUUCCGAUCAAUAACUAAAGAACCUUAAGGCCUAGGAACUUCAAACUUGGUAUGGUGAUUGGUCAUGAUCAGUAGAUGACCCCUAUUGAUUUUGGGGUCAAGGGGUCAAAGGUCAAGGUCACAUUGACCUCUUAGGUAAAAACAGUUUCCGAUCAAUAACUAAAGAACCCUUAGGCCUAGGAACUUCAAACUUGGUAUGGUGAUUGGUCAUAACCAGCAGAUGACCCCUAUUGAUUUUGGGGUUAAGGGGUCAAAGGGCAAGGUCACAUUGACCUUGUAGGUAAAAAUGCUUUCCGAUCAAUAACUUAAGAACCCUUAGGCCUAGGAACUUCAAACUUGGUAUGGUGUUUGGUCAUGACCAGCAGAGGACCUAUUGAUUUUGGGGUCAAGGGGUCAAAGGUCAAGGUAACAUUGACCUUGUAAGUAAAAACGGUUUCCGAUCAAUUAACUAAAAACGCUUAGGCCUAGGAACUUCAAACUUUGUAUGAUGAUUGGUGGUGACCAGCAGAUGACCCCUAUUGAGUUUUGGGUCAAGGGUCAAAGGUCAAGGUCACAUUGACCUUGUAAGUAAAAUGGUUUCUGAUCAAUAACUUAAGAAUGCUUAGGCCUAGGAACUUCAAACUUGGUAUGGUGAUUUUUCAUGACCAGCAGAUUACCCCUAUUGAUUUGGGAUCAAGGGGUCAAAGGUCAAGGUCACAUUGACCUUGUGAGUAAAAACGGUUUCUGAUCAAUAACUAAAGAACGCUUCGGCCUAGGAACUUCAAACUUGGCAUGGUGAUUGGUCAUGACCACCAGAUGACCCCUAUUGAUUUUGGGGUCAAAGGUCAAGGUCACAUUGACCUUGUAUGUUAAAACGGUUUCGGAUCAAUAAUAAAAGAACCCUUAGGCCUAGGAACUUCAAACUUGGCAUGGUGAUUAGUCAUGACCAGCAAAUGACCCCUAUUGAUUUUGGGGUCAAGGGGUCAAAGGUCAAGGUCACAUUGACCUUGUAGGUAAAAACGGUUUCUGAUCAAUUAACUAAAAACGCUUAGGCCUAGGAACGUCAAACUUUGUAUGAUGAUUGGUCUUGACCAGCAGAUGACCCCUAUUGAGUUUUGGGUCAAGGGGUCAAAGGUCAAGGUCAUGACUAGUAGAUACUUGAUAACCCUUAUUAAUUGUUUGAUCACUGGGUCAGAAGUCAUGCAUAAUAACCUUAUCACAUUAAUAAUUGGCUGCUGAUAGGGGGCAUACAUGUUUUACAAACAUAUCUUGUUGUUAUAUAAUCUUCCAUAUUAUUAUUAAUAAUUCUUCAAGAGUGACAAAAAUGGCUGCACAGUUUUGGUUAUUUCAAAAUUAUUCAUAUACAUGUACAUGUAAUUGAAAGUUAUUUAUUUUAUUGUAAGAGUUAUUUUUAAAAGUCUAUUUUAGUCUACAAAGCAUUAAUUUGACACAUUGUUUUGAUUAUUAUUCAUGAUAUUUUUACAUUCAUUGGUGAAUACAUGCAUAAAGUAAUUUCCUUGAUUUGUGGUCUCAUUAUGUGUAUAUCUAAUUUCACACUCUUAUUUUACAUCUUGUGUUAAUUAUUGUCAUUUUCAGUGUUUAUUGUUUUAACUAAUGCAGUAUUUAAAUGAGUCUCCAGUUACCUCUCUGGCGUGGGUUCGAUCCCCGGGAGAUGCUUUGGUAGUUUAGCGCGGAGGAAGGUAGUCUAGUACUGGUGUAACUCUCCAGGAACAAUGGUUAGGAAACUACCCGCCUAUAUGACUGAAAUACUGUUGGAAAAAGGCGUAAAAACAAACAAACAAACAAACAAAAAUUUAAAUGAGUCAUAUAUACAUUAAUACUAUUGUUAUACUAAUAAUAAAGGAUAUAAGUUAACAUAAUCAUUGCAUAUCACUAACAUAGCAAGAACAUUACUAAUUCUAACAAGGCUAAAUUUCAGGUAUAUAUUAUAAAUUUUUUUAUAUAAUUAUAUAUGUAUCAUAAUGUUUUAGUUUUACAGUUCAGGACCAAUUUGUAUCAGGUUCAAUUUUUUUUCACAAAUUUUGCACACUCUUCAUCCCAUUUUGACUGAGUGGUUUUCAUCAACAAAGAUUUAAAAGAAAAUAUUCUGAAUUAUUUAAAUUAUGUCUUCCUUAAAGUGGUAUGAGGAGACAGAAAUUUGGUAGUUAUUUGUAUGGAUAAAGAAAAAUUGUUUCACCAUUUCAUAGGUUGAAACAUUUACUGAUUUAAUUUGAACAUCUGAAAAUGUCUGAGAAAUGAAUAUAUUUUUCUAGAAUUAAAAUGCCAUGAGGCAUUAUUAAAUUAUUCAUAAAUUUGACAAAUUCAUGCAUGCUAUAUUUUCACAAAUUUCAUUAUGCUCAUUUCAUUAAAUUUUGUUUUCAUAUAUAGACAUACAAGUACUUGUGUUCCAUUUUAUAAAGGUUUAUACACUUCGAUGGUUAUUUCAAAGGACAUUUGUCUCGGAUUACAGACCAUUAAAUGGUUUUAUGGCUGUAAGUCUUCUUAAGGCCAUGUUAAAAUUAUGGUUUCUUGCUGUUUUUUUUAUCUUUACUGAAAUAUGUUUGGCAUAGAGUUGUUAAUUUCUGUCUCAGAAAUCUAUGUCUUUAUUUAUUAUUUCAAUAUAAUGCUAGGAAAGGAUAGGUUGGAACUGUAUUGAUGACAUUUUUCAGAAUAAAAUAAAAAACUUUCCUCCAAGCAGUUGGACAGACAACAAACAAACUUUAUUUUCAUAUCAUGCCUUAACUAAUGAUUUCUCAACAAUUUUCACCCUGCAGAAAUGUUGAGUAAUUGAAAUUAACCAUUGAAAAUUGUCUUACCACAUUAGCUGAGAGGAUAUUUGUAUUGACUUUAACUGUACCAAUAAUUGCUACAAGGUUUAAUGCUGUCAUGUACAGACACAAUCUGUAGAGAUCUCUGAUAGUUGUUUAAAAUCUCUGCUUGGUGCUACAGUACAGUAAAGAUCAGCUGUUUAUAGAAGCUUUAUAUGUUUUAUGGUUGUCAUAAGUUAAAAUCUCGUGUAAAUUUAAUAUACAGUUUCAAAGCAAACAAUGUAUGAGAUUUAAGUGUGACUGUAAAGAUAUAAUCAGCUCUAUAAAUUGUGAUUAAGCUGGUACACUAGUCAUGUUUGUGCUAUGUUAAUGUCAGCUUGGGUCCCACUUAAGGUGAUAUAUGGAAAAGAUAUUAGAAAUCUUAAUAUUAAAGGUAUUAGAAAUGGAAACUAAAUUUUUGAAAAAAUUAACAUAGCAGGAAAGCAUCAAGUUAAUAUUUUUAAAGCCACAUAUUUUUAAAGCCACAUGAAAUAGAAAGCAUGAGGCACUUUCCAUUUGAACACAGGCAUGAGAAAACGACCCCGAGGUCAUUGUACAAAUGACGUCAAAAGACAUUAUCGUUGUAAUUGAGGUUAAAAAUAAAAACGGGAAUUACCCUUAAAUGUUAAAAAUAGAUAUGAAUGGAAAGAUGCCAAUAAGCAAAUUUCAAAAGCUUUUAUUUAUAAAGAGCUAUAGAAUUGAUUUUUUUUAAGAAUUCACUUCGUCAAUUAAAAAAAGGUAAUUGAUGAAUUGAUGUUAAGGAUCGUUUUGUCAUGAAGGCUUUCAUUAACUGUUGGAAAUGGGUAAAAAGUCAUCCGUUGUCCUACAGUGAUGAAGCUACCUACCUGUGUAGUGAUAUGUUGUUUGCUGUAUUGAAGAACAAGGCCUUACUUGAACGUAUAUAUUAUAUAGGUAGGCAUCUGGGGUUUUAUGUGACCUGCACAUUAUUUUUAUUUCAGUAGACUAAACAUAACACAUUAUUUCAAGAAAACCAAGACUAAACUUAUUACCCUUUCAAUAAUGACUUUUUAAGUACUUUGGUGCAAGUAUGCUUUAAAAUAAAAUCUUAAAAAAUUUCUCUUCUCUGUAAAUGUCUAAUGCCUAGACAAAUAUUCAAAUCUUUGGUUGCUAGACAACAAAAAUCCAUUACGUUUCUAUGAAAAGCGAUCACUGUCAUUUGAUAAGUCUAGGUGGAAUGUAUGGACACAUAUUAAAUCAUGAAUUAAUGCAAGAACAUGUCAUCCAUUAUUUACGACAGUUACCUACAUUUAUAUAUUGAUUAUCUGCACAACAUUAGUCUUUUGUGUGCUGCAAUUUUGCACUUUAAUUUCCAGUUUAUUAGUAAAUGUAAUGUAGCGUUGUGUUAUUCUAUAGGGAAUGCUUUACUUCAUCUGAAUCUUUUGGUUGAAUGCAUUUUACUUAUAUUAUGAUGGGAGUGCUUUAUUUACCUAUCAGACUGUAGGAAUACACUAUCUUAUAUCAGGGAAGUGCAUUAUCUUAUCGUGGUGGAAUGCAUUCAUGGGGAAUCUUUUUCUUGACUCUUAAAGAUAUUCCAUGAUUGUUAUAAUUGAUUAAAUUUUAUAGAAUGGGAAUGUUUUAUAUGGUUUCAUGGACUGUGUUGAUUUAAUUGUAAUUGCCUAUAAGCAAAUCGGCAACAAUACUGUUUAUUAUUAAUAUUUUUCUUCAAAAUCCUAGUUAUUUAUUGCCAACACUUAAAAGGAAUAUAUUGGCUGUGUCAGUCUGAUACUUAAUGGCAAUAAUAAAAACGUGUAUUGUGUAAAAAUACUGUAAUGUGUGAAAAUUAAACUACUGUUUAAGGUACUAACUUUUAACAGAAAUUACUGAUUAUUUGUCAAAUAUGUAGAAGAUUAUCUUACCCCAAGUAGUAUUUUUUGGUAGUGCUUUUGUGAUAAAAAUAUUCUGUUAUAUAUUUUCAUUUCAUAUCUUUAGCUUAACUAAGAUUUGUAAGUGCAAAAUAAGAUAGAUUUACUAAGGUGUAGGUAGUAAUAUAAUGUAAACAUGUAGUCCAAGUACUACUCAGUAUUAAACAUUGACAAUCAAUAAUCAAAUUAUUUCUCUUAUUUAGUUUUUAAUUUUUAUAACAUCUACAUGUUACAAUCUUACACUCAUGUCAUGGCAUGGCCCAGGGGUUAACUCAUGGGACUAGUAAUCUUAGAGGAUCGUUAUCAAUGUACCCUGUCAAGGGUGAGCCGUUGUUUCUUUUGAGCAAGAAACGUUACACUCAUUGCCCAGUACUGAUUUAUUCAAGGAAAGGACUGGGGAAUGUGUCUAUAAGCUUUCUACAUAAUCAAACUAAAUUAAAUUCUGUAUAAAUCAACAAUCAAUUUCCUGUCAAGUUGUAAAGGAGAAUAGAAAUGAUGAGAAAGCUAUUUAUUGAAUCUACAACGAAAAUGGAAUUAUUUUACAGGUUGCUUAAGUUUGCCUUUCUAAGGAGGUAAAAUACCAAAUAUUUUGUUACUAAUUAAUGUAAAAGAACCAUUUUUAUGCUCCCAGUAUGUAGUAUUUCGUAUUAUUUAUGAUGCUCAGUAUUUCAUUUUAGAAGUUAAAUGUUGCUAUAUAAAAGAACAGUAUAUAUACUCCGACUAUUCACAAUUAUACGGUGAUGGUUUGGUCCUUUGUAUGCAAGUACAUACAUUCAUCUGUUAUCCUUAACCGACUGACAACUUAAUAAGGUAGUAAACCUUAGUUGUGGAACUUGAUAGGUUGAUAUGGACAUUGGCCAUGACAAGCAGAUAACUCUGUAUAAAGAUUUUAAGGUCAGUAGGUCAAAGUCACCAUGGCCUUGACCAUUAAAAGCUUGACCAACCAAAAACUACAUAAUGCUUUGGCAUAUAGUCUUAAGAUUGUGUAUAGAAGUUGGUCAUUGCUAGUAGAUGUUCUUUAUCGAUUUUGAGGUCAAAGGUCAAGGUCAUUGUGGAAUUUACCAGAAAAAGUGCUAAGAUCAAUAACAUAAUUUGUGUCAUGUUUAUAAUUAUGGUAAAUGCUACAUGUCACACCAUGAUAUUUUGUAUUAUUCAGGGUGCCAUAACAGGGACUGUGUUACUAUUAUACUGCAUAAUAUGAAUUCAUACAUAUGUGUUUUACAUAUUACCAUGUCAUAUUCUUUUCAGUUUAGCCUGAUUCAUUCAUGAUAAAUAUUGUUGAGCAUUGCACCAUGCUUUGUAUAUGUUAAUUCACAAAACAAUGAUUGGUUUAGCUGACAAUGAAAAGACUUGUAUUGCAUAAUUGAUGUUGCUCAGUUUCAUAAGCAGUGUUCAUGUUACAUGUUUUGUUUUCUUUUCAAGUUUGUAAUGAAGCUCUUUUUAAGGGUUGUAUUGCAUAAUUCAUGAUAAAUAUCAUGUGUUAUUUAACUGUAUCCAUGUUAAUACCAGUUAUUGAGCAUUUUCCAUAUUGUCAAGUGCUAAAUUGCACACGUUUGUGUUGCCCAUUGGCAUAAAAAGCAUUAAUCAUGAACACAGGUAUUGUUAUACAAUACAUAAGUUGAUACAUUGACAUAAGCAUAAUGCCAAAAUCAUGAUUUAUUUUUGAGAAUAUUAAGGCUAUAUUUUUAUUUCGUAAUCAAGCCUUAUUAUAUGUUGUACCUUUUACUUUAGCUUGUGUAUUAUGAAUUUAUGAUACCGUCAGUAGCACAGUGUGAAUUGUCAACUUUCUUCCAGAAAACAACAAUAAAAAAUAAAAGUAAA